UUGUUUUUUUUUUUAGAAAAAUCGACAGAGCUCUGACUGACAUCGGACAGCACACCACACAACAACACGACAAUGGUGAAGAUGACAGCCAGAGAGAAGGAACUUUCACAGUUCCACUGGAAAGUGAAGAUGCUACCCAAAGAGAUGAGCAGAUACCAGAACCACAAACAGUUUCAC